rnacentral:rRNA from 1 species
GAUUCGCCCGCCGCGCCCCGCGCCCGUCCCGCCGCCCCCGCCCGCUCCUACGGGAGGCAGCAGUGGGGGAUAUUGCACAAUGGGGGAAACCCUGAUGCAGCGACGCCGCGUGAGGGAAGACGGUUUUCGGAUUGUAAACCUCUGUCUUUGGGGACGAACAAAUGACGGUACCCAAGGAGGAAGCCACGGCUAACUACGUGCCAGCAGCCGCGGUAAUACA